rnacentral:rRNA from 1 species
CCUACGGGAGGCAGCAGUGGGGAAUAUUGCACAAUGGGGGAAACCCUGAUGCAGCGACGCCGCGUGAGUGAAGAAGUAUUUCGGUAUGUAAAGCUCUAUCAGCAGGGAAGAAAUAGCGACCUUUGGGUCGCCAGACGGUACCUGCUUAAGAAGCCCCGGCUAACUACGUGCCAGCACCCGCGGUAAUACGGAGGGGGCAGGCGUUAUCCGGAUUUACUGGGUGUAUAGGGAGCGUAGACGGCAGCGCAAGUCUGUAGUGAAAUGCCGGGGCUUAACCCCGGAACUGCGUUGGAAACUGUGUAGCGAGAGUGCAGGAGAGGUAAGUGGAAUUCCUAGUGUAGCGGUGAAAUGCGGAGAUAUUAGGAGGAAAACCAGUGGCGAAGGCGGCUUACUGGACUGUAACUGACGUUGAGGCUCGAAAGCGUGGGGAGCAAACAGGAUUAGAUACCCCUGUAGUC